rnacentral:rRNA from 1 species
AAUCAACGCUGGCGGCGUGCCUAACACAUGCAAGUCGAGCGCGAAAGGGGAGCAAUCCCCAAGUAGAGCGGCGAACGGGUGAGUAACGCGUGGGUAAUCUGCCUCCGAGUGGGGAACAACACCGGGAAACUGGUGCUAAUACCGCAUGACAUCGUUGGACCUUCGGAUCUGACGAUCAAAGCCGGGGACCGCAAGGCCUGGCGCUUGGAGAGGAGCCCGCGUCCGAUUAGCAGUUGGUGGGGUAAUGGCCCACCAAGGCUACGAUCGGUAGCCGGCCUGAGAGGGCGGACGGCCACACUGGGACUGAGACACGGCCCAGACUCCUACGGGAGGCAGCAGUGGGGAAUUUUCGCAAUGGGCGAAAGCCUGACGAAGCAACGCCGCGUGGAGGAUGAAGGCCUCGGUCGUAAC